rnacentral:rRNA from 1 species
GUGCCAGCCGCCGCGGUAAUACGUAGGUGGCAAGCGUUGUCCGGAAUUAUUGGGCGUAAAGGGCUCGCAGGCGGUUUCUUAAGUCUGAUGUGAAAGCCCCCGGCUCAACCGGGGAGGGUCAUUGGAAACUGGGAAACUUGAGUGCAGAAGAGGAGAGUGGAAUUCCACGUGUAGCGGUGAAAUGCGUAGAGAUGUGGAGGAACACCAGUGGCGAAGGCGAC